rnacentral:rRNA from 1 species
AUUGAACGCUGGCGGCAGGCCUAACACAUGCAGGUCGAGCGGAUGAGGAAAGCUUGCUUUUCGAUUCAGCGGCGGACAGGUGAGUAAUGCCUAGGAAUCUGCCUGUUAGUGGGGGAUAACUCGGGGAAACUCGGGCUAAUACCGCACACGUCCUACGGUAGAAAGUAGGGGAUCUUCGGACCUCAGGCUAACAGAUGAGCCUAGGUCGGAUUAGCUAGUAGGUGAGGUAAUGGCUCACCUAGGCGACGAUCCGUAACUGGUCUGAGAGGAUGAUCAGUCACACUGGAACUGAGACACGGUCCAGACUCCUACGGGAGGCAGCAGUGGGGAAUAUUGGACAAUGGGCGAAAGCCUGAUCCAGCCAUGCCGCGUGUGUGAAGAAGGUCUUCGGAUUGUAAAGCACUUUAAGUUGGGAGGAAGGGUAUUCACCUAAUACGUGGGUACUUUGACGUUACCAACAGAAUAAGCACCGGCUAACUCUGUGCCAGCCGCCGCCGUAACAC